CGCAGCGGCGGGCUUUGUAUUUACCUCAAUGAUGCAUGGUGCCGCGAUGCUGUUGUGAUCUGCAAACACUGCUCAACCCUGGCGGAGUUUAUGAUUAUUAAUCGCCGGCCGUUCUAUCUGCCAAGGGAAUAUAAUGCCAUACUGCUCGUUUCGGUUUACAUUCCCCUGAACAACAACAACUGCAACAGGAACGAUGCACUAAAUGAACUGCACCAGCACAUCAGUGAGCAGCUGACAGCACACCCUGAUGCUUUUCUUAUCAUAGCUGGGGAUUUCAACCAUGCUGACUUAAAGAGUGUGUUUCCAAAAAUACACCAACACAUUAACUUUCCAACAAGAGUUAACAACAUUUUGGAUUGUGUUUACACCACACAGAGAGGAGCUUACAAAUCCCUCCCCCUCCCCCACCUUGGUGCCUCAGACCACAUCACUGUCAUGCUAAUGCCUGCACACAGACCGCUCAUUAAAGUCGCCAAACCAGUUCAAAAACAGAUUCAAGUGUGGCCGGAAGGAUCAUCAGCGGCUCUUCAAGACUGCUUUGACACAACUGACUGGAAUAUGUUUAAGCAGGCUGCCACUUACAAUAACACCACUGACCUCCAGGAGUACUCAGAGACUGUCACUGCUUACAUCAACAAGUGUAUUGAGGAUGUAACAGUCACAAAAACCAUCACUGUCCGGGCUAACCAGAAACCGUGGAUGACAGGGGAGGUCUACAGACUCCUGGAGACGUGGAACGCUGCAUUCAGAGCUGGAGAUGAGGUAGGCCUGAGAACAGCCAGGGCCUACCUGUCCCGUGGCAUCAGAGAGGCUAAGAGACAGUACUCCAGGAGGAUAGCCCAUCAAUUCAGCGACAGCAGAGACAAUACUCGCUUUGAGGCACAAAACAGCACCACUGCACAGAAGACUCCACCUCCUCCCAGUGACCAGGUGAUGAUGCUGACCCCGGACAGCGUGAGGAGAUCCUUCAGCAGGAUCAAUGCACGCAAAGCUCCGGGUCCUGACAACAUUCCUGGGCGUGUACUGAGAGACUGUGCAGCAGAACUCACUGAUGUCUUCACAGACAUUUUCAACAUCUCACUUAGUCAGGCUGUUGUUCCCACAUGUUUCAAAACUACCACCAUCAUUCUAGUCCCGAAGAAGCCAUCUCCAUCCUGCUUCAAUGACUACCGUGCUGUUGCACUUACUCCCAUCCUCAUGAAGUGCUUUAAAUGGCUAGUCAUGCACCACAUCAAGUCUGCCCUCCCCACCUCCCUGGACUCAUUCCAGUUUGCAUAUCGGUCCAACCGGUCGACCGAUGAUGCCAUCUCAACUACCCUCCACUCAGCACUCACACAUCUAGAGAAAAAAGACUCAUACGUCAGAAUGCUGUUCAUAGACUUCAGUUCAGCAUUCAACACAAUCAUCCCUCAACAGCUCAUUAACAAACUGUCCAGCUGGGGCUAAACACUUCGCUGUGCAACUGGCUGUUAGACUUUCUGACUGGAAGACCUCAGCAACGCUGUGCAGCAACACAUCCGGCACCUUCACACUGAACACUGGGGCCCCCCAAGGAUGUGUGCUGAG
ensembl:lncRNA